rnacentral:rRNA from 1 species
AUGUGUUCCUCCUCCGGCGCCUUCCAACCCAACAUCAAUGGCCACGUCACCGAGAAGCUGGCGCGCACAAACUAUGUGCUAUGGCGCAUGCAGGUCAUCCCCCAGCUGCGUGGUCCCGGUGUCUUCGGCUACGUCGACGGCACCUAGCCGGAGCCGGCGAAACUCCUCUUCACCACCAAGGACGGCAAGGAGACUUCAUCGCCCAACCCUCUCUACCCAAUCUGGGUUAGGGAGGAUCAGCAGGUUCUCAGUUACCUGCUGAACAAUCUGAUGCGCGAGGUUCUUCUC